AAAGAAAAAGUGUGAUUUUUCAAGGAAUCAAGUGUUUAAAGGUGGUGAGCUAUCUGAUACGGGUAAAAGACUACACCCGAGGACCGAGAAUAGGAGUAUAUCUACUCCUAGUACAUGACGGGGGUUCCGUGGGCCAGCCUAAUUAGAGGGGCACGGUUCUCAAUUAUUGAGCUUAUCUCGAUUGGAGAGGUGCGCAGGAUAACUCCCGAGGUAGGAUUUGAGUACACUUCACGCUGGCCACCACGUGAAACUGGGACUCAGCCAACGCCGAGGAAUGGCUGUGUUGUCAGAGGUGAAAUGUGUUUGUGUGUGUGACAAUAAACAACCUUGGCGGUAUCGGUAAGAUG